AAAUCAGGGCUAGGACAGGAAGCAGCUGCGCCCAGUGUGGAGGGCUGAAAGGACCAGAACUUCAUGAAGAGGAUGUAGAAGAUGGUAUCAGUAUUGCAGGUUUACAACCUGCACAGGUGGUAACACACACUCACACACACAAAAAAAUGCCCAGUGUAGUUUAGAGAAUAUAUAGAUGCCUACAUUCAGAAACACACAUUCAUUGGGAUGAAUCUUGUUUUAAAUUGAUUAAUGCUAUUGAUAACUUGCUGUUUCUGUCUAUUUGUUUAGAUUCUCCCAAAGAGGCUCAAAACGUGGCUUCAACUAACACAAAGGAAGACAGGCCUCAGAGGAAAAGGACCAGAGAAACAUUUACAAGAAGCAGCAGUCCAGAGACCAGUUCCUCACCAAGAAAGAGGAUGAGAAUGAUGAUGCCUGAGGAUUCCCAAACAUCAGGCUCUGAGGUGAAAAUCAAACCUCAGAAGAAAAGAAAAAGGGACUCUGCAGAGACCCAGUUUGAAAACAGGAGUCCAGACACCAGCUCUCCGGAGAG